AGCGAACGCUGGCGGCAGGCUUAACACAUGCAAGUCGAGCGGGCGUAGCAAUACGUCAGCGGCAGACGGGUGAGUAACGCGUGGGAACGUACCUUUUGGUUCGGAACAACACAGGGAAACUUGUGCUAAUACCGGAUAAGCCCUUACGGGGAAAGAUUUAUCGCCGAAAGAUCGGCCCGCGUCUGAUUAGCUAGUUGGUGAGGUAAUGGCUCACCAAGGCGACGAUCAGUAGCUGGUCUGAGAGGAUGAUCAGCCACAUUGGGACUGAGACACGGCCCAAACUCCUACGGGAGGCAGCAGUGGGGAAUAUUGGACAAUGGGCGCAAGCCUGAUCCAGCCAUGCCGCGUGAGUGAUGAAGGCCCUAGGGUUGUAAAGCUCUUUUGUGCGGGAAGAUAAUGACGGUACCGCAAGAAUAAGCCCCGGCUAACUUCGUGCCAGCAGCCGCAGUAAAAC
rnacentral:rRNA from 1 species